rnacentral:pre_miRNA from 1 species
UGAAUUUUUUACUCUUCGUCUUAUUCAAAAAAAAUUUGCGAUUGAUAUUUUUAUUUUUAUUAGAUGAUAAAUCAUGAAUAGUACUUUACGUGUGACUAAUUUUUUUUCCAAUUUCUUAAAAAUUUUCAAAUAAAACGGAUGGCCAAAGUGCACGAAAACCGAAG